rnacentral:rRNA from 1 species
UACGGAGGGUGCAAGCGUUAUCCGGAUUUACUGGGUUUAAAGGGUGCGUAGGCGGGCAUGUAAGUCAGUGGUGAAAUACCGGAGCUUAACUUCGGAACUGCCAUUGAUACUAUAUGUCUUGAAUAUUGUGGAGGUAAGCGGAAUAUGUCAUGUAGCGGUGAAAUGCAUAGAUAUGACAUAGAACACCGAUUGCGGAGGCAGCUUGCUACGCAAAUAUUGACGCUGAGGCACGAAAGCGUGGGGAGCAAACAGG